CAGUAGCCGCGGUAAUACAGAGGGUGCAAGCGUUAAUCGGAAUUACUGGGCGUAAAGCGCGCGUAGGUGGUUUGUUAAGUUGAAUGUGAAAUCCCCGGGCUCAACCUGGGAACUGCAUCCAAAACUGGCAAGCUAGAGUAGGGCAGAGGGUGGUGGAAUUUCCUGUGUAGCGGUGAAAUGCGUAGAUAUAGGAAGGAACACCAGUGGCGAAGGCGACCACCCGGGCUCAUACUGACACUGAGGUGCGAAAGCGUGGGGAGCAAACAGGAUUAGAUACCCCAGUAGUCCCUGUCUCUUAUAC
rnacentral:rRNA from 1 species